rnacentral:rRNA from 1 species
UACGUAGGGUGCGAGCGUUGUCCGGAAUUAUUGGGCGUAAAGAGCUCGUAGGCGGCUUGUCACGUCGGGUGUGAAAGCCCGGGGCUUAACCCCGGGUCUGCAUUCGAUACGGGCAGGCUAGAGUGUGGUAGGGGAGAUCGGAAUUCCUGGUGUAGCGGUGAAAUGCGCAGAUAUCAGGAGGAACACCCGUAGCGAAGGCGGCACUCUGGGCCGAUACUGACACUGAGGAGCGAAAGCGUGGGGAGCGAACAGG